rnacentral:misc_RNA from 1 species
GCGAAACUCCAACAUGACUUAAUCUCUUCAUCACAACUCUUCCACAAGUGGUGAGAAGAUACCUAGGUGACGACUUCUGCUCUACAAGUAGAUGACGAAGGUUCAUUCUGUUGCUUCAGAUCAACUUCGCCAUGAGACUGUGCAACUACUUGUAGCGAGGUUUGCAGCAACUGAAGAUGUUCUCAUCUAGCAUCUUGCUGGGGACCCCGAUGGCCAUCUGAUACGAUCGUUUCUUCGACAAUGACACUGGGAGAAGUCUUCUAACUGUCCCUUGUUUCAACUCAGAUCUGAAAUGACGUUGUCUCAACACUGUGCCAAAACAGCCAUCUCAGCAAAACAGCUCCCUUUCCUCACACUGGCCAAGUUUUUUUUUGAAAAUAAUGGUGCUGGGAUUCCGUGUUAAUACCCAGACACUACUCAUACCAUCUACACUGUGACACCAGAACAACCGAUGAACCUCAACCAUCACUACAUCGACAAAACUUCUACCAAAUUCUACCAUAACACGACGAGAUACAUCCAGAUACGCCCUCUACAGGCAGAUAUUACCCCAGGAUAGCAAAACAAGUCUUUUCUGAGCUAUAAAAUUGUACUGAUAAUGUCUCUUCUGACUAGCCUUCCGAAGAGUGCCGCUUGAUUAACAACCGCCGCAGUUGGGGUCGCCACACUUGGAGCAAUGCUUCUUCUCCUGAGUAGGAGUAGGAGCACAAGGCUUGGCAUCAAUUGCCACAGUGCCGGUGAUGGUGGUGUAGUGGGUGGUGAUGAUGGUGGUGGACUUGGGGCACUCCUUCUGGGGACACUUCUUGGAGUGGAUCUUGUCCUUGAACUGGUGGAUGUCCUGGGGGGACUCGGACUGGUCGUUGUUCACGGGAACCGCAACGGCGAGAGCGGCCAUGGACAGGAGGGCGAGGUUCUUGAUCUGCAUUCUAGUAGAUUGGUUGUUGGCUGGUUGAUACUAAUUGAGGGGUGUCACACUGGUAUAUAUACUGCAGAAAGAUCUUGAACUUGUCCAAACAGUAGUUGAACUUGACCAAAGAAAAGUUCAACUUGUCAUUCUCGAGGCUCAGUUGUCAUUCGCGAGGCUCACCUCUGCUCCCGUUGGCCUAUUACUUCUCAUUCUGCCACUCCCGAACCAUCAUAAACUAACCCCAUAGACCAUCUCGGAAAACCAACCCCUUUCCGGCAUCCACCAAUGGUAAAUAUCCCGCUGCAGUUGCCGUCCGGGUGUGAUUGUAUGCUAUGUCAGAGACGGAACGACGCGAUGAGAACUAUAGGGCCAUUUCGGAAGGUUGCGGUGAAACAUGUGACAGGCAGAUGAGUAGGUGGAGGAAUUGCGUAUGAGUAGAGCUAUGAGAUGAACAUGUUUGGUAUAUGCUGC